UUCAACUUAUCCUCAUGGCAUUUCAUUACUGCAUGAAAAGGUAUUUCCUUCUGAGAUUUACUCUACAUUUUCAGCAGGGCUUGUCUUUUCUUGCAUGUACCUGGAUGUCAGGAAAAGAAUGAUGUUUAGUUGGUCUGGAAUGUUUCUCAUAAGGGACAUCUCAGUCUUCAAACCUGCAAAACAUAAACUUUCUUUGUAUCACUGCCAGAUAAUAUUGUGUAAAGGCUUUUUAAAUAGUUGCUUUGCUUUAUAACCUAUUCACUUCAAUAAUAUUUCCCUGGGGUUCAUUU